GACGAACGCUGGCGGCGUGCCUAAUACAUGCAAGUCGAACGAGAGCGCCCGGUGCUUGCACUGGUCAAUCUAGUGGCGAACGGGUGAGUAACACGUGGGUAACCUGCCCAUCAGAGGGGGAUAACAUUCGGAAACGGAUGCUAAAACCGCAUAGGUCUUCGAACCGCAUGGUUUGAAGAGGAAAAGAGGCGCAAGCUUCUGCUGAUGGAUGGACCCGCGGUGCAUUAGCUAGUUGGUGAGGUAACGGCUCACCAAGGCCGUGAUGCAUAGCCGACCUGAGAGGGUGAUCGGCCACAUUGGGACUGAGACACGGCCCAAACUCCUACGGGAGGCAGCAGUAGGGAAUCUUCCGCAAUGGACGCAAGUCUGACGGAGCAACGCCGCGUGAGUGAAGAAGGUUUUCGGAUCGUAAAACUCUGUUGUUAGAGGAGAAUAAGUGCUAGAGUAACUGUUAGCGCCUUGACGGUAUCUAACCAGAAAGCCACGGCUAACUACGUG
rnacentral:rRNA from 1 species